AAGAGAGGAUGAUCUUGUUAACCAGGCCCCCUGCCCAGGCUAGCCAUUACCCCACAGCUUAGCUCUUCUCCAGUGGCUCUCGCAUAGCAGAUUUUCACCUGGCAGGGAAGCUUAUUUAUUCUGCUGGAAUGUUUCAGAGUGACAUCACUGGAGUUUAAUUGUCCUAUGGAUGGACAGAGAGCAAUGAAAGCCAGAAAGCCUCAGCAGUGCCAGCUUCCACCUCCCCGCCCCCACAAAGCCCUGCUCUAAUAUGUUUCAAUCCAGCCCGGGAGGGACCCCAAUCUGGAGGAGUUCCGAACACACAACUCAUUCCUUUUGGUCUUCCUGCCAAGACUGGAGUGAAGGGAGGCAAAGGAGAAGGACGUGGACCUGUGCCACUAGAAGAAAGAAACCCAUUAGUUUCACAUGAACACCAAACAGCCAUCAAAGUAAAGAGUCUAUAACAAGGGGGUGACCAGAUCACCGGUAAGCCCUUAAGGGAAACGUGCAGCCAUCCAGGUCUCAAUGGCAAACAACUCAGGAGUGCAACAUACACGUGGAAGGUCAUCCCUGCUGGGGCCUCACCGAAAAUGUUCGAAUUGGGCCCCGCACUUCCCAAAGCCGGCCCUGCCUCAGAGUACAGCAGCCGUUCCCCCUAGCAAAUCCCAGCUUCACCCCGACAAAUAUGAACGCCUUAGAACACCGGAGGAAGCAGAUAGCAGGAGUUCCAUCAGAGCAGCCCAGGGCAGGUUUGGCUCGAGUCUCCACCGCAGCACUGCAGGAGAGGAAAUGUUACCUAAUAGCAUAUAACAGGUCUCAAAGCAAAGGUAGCAUUAUCCCCAUUUUACAAAGAGAGAAACCAAGAAAGAGAAACGUGCAGCAACAUGGCCAAGGUGACAGCAAAUCACUAGCAGAGCCAGGAUUAGAAUCCAAGCCCUCAGCCUGAAGCCCCACCCAAGAACACGUGUAUCGCAGCUGCAAGCUGGCAAUCAGCUGACAUGAUCCAUCGCAGAAGCGGCUGCAUUUCAUUGGUCAGUGAAGAGCGUCAGCAGGCAAGGACACAUCAUCAUGGCUUUAUCAGCAGGAAA